GGCAUGUAUUGGUUGUGUAACACCCCUCAUUUCCGAAUGUUCGUAUAAUUUUUUUGGUGAUAAUGUAAGCAUCUAUUUUAAUUGACAAAAGAAAUAGAGUAUGAAUCAGAGGUAACUUAUUUUUAAGAUUUGGGAGAUCUGUUCAAAAAAAAAAAAAAAAGAAAAGAAAAAGAAAGAAUCUGAGGACCUAUAUGUAAACCCUAAGGACCUAAUCGUGAAUAUGAUAAAAACGAGGACUAAACUGCAAAACGCACCAAAUGACAAAUUCCACCGCUUAAGCCUCUCUGCCUUCGUUGUUAAGGAAGCAGAGGAGGCAGCUCGUGGGUGAUCAGGGAAAGAAAAGAAGAAGAAGAAGAAGAAGAAGAAGAAGGAGAAGAGAAAGAAAAUUUGGGGCUUUUAGGGUUUUUGCUUUAAUCUUGUUACUUCGGGUCAAAAUUUGCAAAGGAUAGCGUAACUCUUGCUUAAAUGUUAAGAAUGGGCUGAGGCAGCGGAAAGUUUAGAAGACGUUGGGCAGAACUUUUGUUAGCAUAUAUGUAGUUGUGUAUAAGCUACCUUGUAUCUAAUGAAAUGUGACUAUGAAUAUAAACCUGUGGAUUUUGUGUAAGUUAAAGGAUCCCUCAUGUAUAGGGUUUUGGUAUGUUAAAUUAAAUUUGUGUAAGGAUAUGAACUUAUGGUAAAUCGAUGAUUGUGGUGACUGCAUAGAUUUUCCCCACUUGUGGAUUUAUAUUGUGGUUUUUAUUUUGAUGAGUCGAGUUCAGAUUGUAUGAAUUAUCGAGUGAUGUGUGCUAUGUUAAUGAAUUGCACAGGGAUAUGAAUUGGUAGAUUAUAGAAGUGAAAUUUUUGAUCUGAAUGUUUUCUUAGUGACCUCAAAUGUGUGUUUGGAUCCUGGGUUAGUUAUGAUGAAAAAAUUUUUAAUAUCAUGGAUAUUUUUGGGGCGUGACAGAGGUGGUAUCAGAGCGUUGUUUGAGGAUUACUGAAAUAUUUGAUAUGUUGACGUGCAAAAUAUAUUGAGGUCUAAUGAAACUAUAGUGAUUGGUGGAAAUUUUCUUUGAUGUAUUUUAGGAAUCUAGGAUGACGAUGACAUUUAGUCCUCCUACUUCAUCUGAUUUUGAUUAAUUAAGUGGGAUGAAAGGGGUAAUCGGGGAUAUUGAAUCAAAGUGGCGCAGCGGAAGCAUGGUGGACCUAAUUUCAUUGGUGGUAGAAAAAUGAAUGAUGCAAACAGAGAAGAUAUUUGAUGUACAAAAUUGUUUUGAUGAUCAAAAGAUUUCUUUUGCCACCUUAUAUUGGAAGUAGAGGCUGAUUAUUAUUGGCAACAAUGAAAAGAAUUUUUGGAGAUCAGUGACAAGAAUGAUAAGGACAAGUUUACCAAUAAGAAUAUGAUUGGAAAUGAAUCAGAAAGUAAUGACAAGAGGGUCAAGACAUUUGGAUUUGAAAAGGAAAGUCACCACCAAAGACUUAAUCAUGUGUGAAUUACAAGUUAAAUUAUGAAACAAGUUUGUGUUUUCGGGUGAUUGGAGACAUCAUUCUGGAGAAGAGACAACUUGGGAGCUAGAAGAGGAAAUGAAAAAGGUGUAUCCUCGUCUUUUCAUCGAAUAGAGGUACGAUAAAUUUAGAGGACUAAAUUUUUCUUUUAAGGGGGGGAGAGUGUAACACCCCUCAUUUCCGAAUGUUCGUAUAAUUUUUUUGGUGAUAAUGUAAGCAUCUAUUUUAAUUGACAAAAGAAAUAGAGUAUGAAUCAGAGGUAACUUAUUUUUAAGAUUUGGGAGAUCUGUUCAAAAAAAAAAAAAAAAAGAAAAGAAAAAGAAAGAAUCUGAGGACCUAUAUGUAAACCCUAAGGACCUAAUCGUGAAUAUGAUAAAAACGAGGACUAAACUGCAAAACGCACCAAAUGACAAAUUCCACCGCUUAAGCCUCUCUGCCUUCGUUGUUAAGGAAGCAGAGGAGGCAGCUCGUGGGUGAUCAGGGAAAGAAAAGAAGAAGAAGAAGAAGAAGAAGAAGAAGGAGAAGAGAAAGAAAAUUUGGGGCUUUUAGGGUUUUUGCUUUAAUCUUGUUACUUCGGGUCAAAAUUUGCAAAGGAUAGCGUAACUCUUGCUUAAAUGUUAAGAAUGGGCUGAGGCAGCGGAAAGUUUAGAAGACGUUGGGCAGAACUUUUGUUAGCAUAUAUGUAGUUGUGUAUAAGCUACCUUGUAUCUAAUGAAAUGUGACUAUGAAUAUAAACCUGUGGAUUUUGUGUAAGUUAAAGGAUCCCUCAUGUAUAGGGUUUUGGUAUGUUAAAUUAAAUUUGUGUAAGGAUAUGAACUUAUGGUAAAUCGAUGAUUGUGGUGACUGCAUAGAUUUUCCCCA